rnacentral:misc_RNA from 1 species
GAUGAAGAACGCAGUGAAAUGCGAUAAGUAAUGUGAAUUGCAGAAUUCAGUGAAUCAUCGAAUCUUUGAACGCACCUUGCGCCCUUUGGCCAUUCCGAAGGGCAUGCCUGUUUGAGUAUCAUGAACACCUCAACUCUUCAUGGUUUUCCAUGAUGAGCUUGGACUUUGGGGGUCUUGCUGGCCUGUGGGUCGGCUCCUCUCAAAUGAAUCAGCUUGCCGGUUUUUGGUGGGCAUCACAGGUGUGAUAACUAUCUACGCUUGUGGUUUUCCACCAGGGUAACCUUCAGCAGUGGAGGUUCACUGGAGCUUACAAAUGUCUCUCCUCUGUGAGGACAGCCCUUUGAAUGUUUGAUCUCAAAUCAGGUAGGACUACCCGCUGAACUUAAGCAUAUCAAUAGCGGAGGA